UACGUAGGGUGCGAGCGUUGUCCGGAAUUAUUGGGCGUAAAGGGCUCGUAGGCGGUUUGUCGCGUCGGGAGUGAAAUCCACUGGCUUAACUGGUGGCUUGCUUUCGAUACGGGCAGACUGGAGGUAUGCAGGGGAGAACGGAAUUCCUGGUGUAGCGGUGAAAUGCGCAGAUAUCAGGAGGAACACCGGUGGCGAAGGCGGUUCUCUGGGCCAAAACUGACGCUGAGGAGCGAAAGCGUGGGGAGCGAACAGG
rnacentral:rRNA from 1 species